rnacentral:rRNA from 1 species
GACGAACGCUGGCGGCGUGCUUAACACAUGCAAGUCGAACGGCAAGGCCCUGUUUUCGUGGGAUGCUCGAGUGGCGACCGGGUGCGUAACACGUGCGUAUCCUGCCCUUGACUUUGGGAUAUCUUCAGGAUACUGGGGCUAAUACCGGAUCGGGGCUCCAGCUUCAUUUCGGGGGUUGGCAAGUUUGGGCGGAUGGGGAUGGACGCGCGGCUUACCUGCUUGUUGGUGGAGUAUUGGAUGACGAAGGAUUUGGCGGGGAACCGGCCUGAGAGGGGGACCGGCCAAAGGGGGAAAGAGAUACGGCACGGACCCCUAAGGGAGACAGGAGAGGGGAAGAUAGCACAAUGGGCGGAAGUCGGAUGCAGCAACGCCGCGUGCGGGAUGAUGGCCUUCGGGUUGUAAACCGCAUUCGCCUGUAACGAAGCGUGAGUGACGGUAAUGGAUAAAGAAGCACCGGCUAACUACGUG